GGGAAGGUGGCUCAGUGGUAGAGCGCUUGCCUGGCAUGCAUGAAGCCCUGGGUUCGAUUCCUCAGCACCCCA
rfam:Dipodomys ordii contig_63773, whole genome shotgun sequence.